rnacentral:rRNA from 1 species
AGUGAACGCUGGCGGUAGGCCUAACACAUGCAAGUCGAACGGCAGCACAGUAAGAGCUUGCUCUUACGGGUGGCGAGUGGCGGACGGGUGACGAAUACAUCGGAAUCUACUCUUUCGUGGGGGAUAACGUAGGGAAACUUACUCUAAUACCGCAUACGACCUACGGGUGAAAGCAGGGGAUCUUCGGACCUUGUGCGAUUGAAUGAGCCGAUGUCGGAUUAGCUAGUUGGCGGGGUAAAGGCCCACCAAGGCGACGAUGCGUAGAUGGUCUGAGAGGAUGAUCAGCCAGCUUGGAAGUGAGACACGGUCCAGACUCCUGCGGGAGGCCGCAGUGGGGAAUAGUGGACAAUGGGCGCAAGCCUGAUCCAGCCCUACCGCGUGGGUGCAGAAGGCGUUCGGGUUGUAAAGCCCUUUUGUUGGGAAAGAAAAGCAGCAGGUUUAUACCCCGCUGUUCUGACGGUACCCAAAGAAUAAGCACCGGCUAACUUCGUG